GAUGAAGAACGUAGCGAAAUGCGAUAAGUAAUGUGAAUUCCAGAAUUCAGUGAAUCAUCGAAUCUUUGAACGCACAUUGCGCCCCCUGGUAUUCCGGGGGGCAUGCCUGUCCGAGCGUCAUUACAACCCUCAAGCUCAGCUUGGUGUUGGGCCCCGCCGCCCCGGCGGGCCCUAAAGUCAGUGGCGGUGCCGUCCGGCUCCGAGCGUAGUAAUUCUUCUCGCUCUGGAGGUCCGGUCGUGUGCUCGCCAGCAACCCCCAAUUUUUUUCAGGUUGACCUCGGAUCAGGUAGGGAUACCCGCUGAACUUAAGCAUAUCAAUAAGCGGAGGA
rnacentral:misc_RNA from 1 species